GGAUAACUACGGAAAAGCUGUAGCUAAUACUUGCUUUAGCACUCUUGAUUAAGUUCUUGAGUGUGUACUUGUUAAGCCUUUUAAGAAAAAAGUUAUUAACUUAAGGAAUUAUAACAAAGAAGCAACACGUAAAUGGAUUUUCCAUUUUUUAGUGUGUAUCAAUCGAGUUUCUGACCUAUCAGCUUUUGAUGUUAGGGUAUUGGCCUAACAUGGCUAUGACGGGUAACGGGGAAUUAGAGUUCGAUUCCGGAGAGGGAGCCUGAGAAAUAGCUACCACAUCUAAGGAAGGCAGCAGGCGCGUAAAUUACCCAAUUCUAAAGAAGAGAGGUAGUGACAAGAAAUAACAAUACAAGGCCAAUCUGGCUUUGUAAUUGGAAUGAUGGGAAUUUAAAGCCUUCCCAAAACUCAAUUGGAGGGCACGUCUGGUGCCAGCAGCCGCGGUAAUUCCAGCUCCAAUAGCGUAUAUUAAAAUUGUUGCAGUUAAAACGCUCGUAGUUGAAUUUCAAAGAAUCGAUAUUUUAAGUAGCACUUUGUAGAUUAAUCCACAUAACUGAUACUACGUAUCGACUUUGUGCGCAUUUUUCUACUUAUGUGUUCUUUUAAUUAAAAUGAUUCUUUUUAAGAUCUUUCUUUUUUGCUUCGGCAUUUUAGGAGAUCUUGUUACUUUGAGUAAAUUAGAGUGUUCAAAGCAAACAGAUUAUAGCAUCUUUAUGCGUUUGAAUACUACAGCAUGGAAUAACAAAAUUGAACAAGUCAGAAUUUUGUUCUUUUUUCUUAUUUUGGCUUAGUUACGAUUAAUAGGAGUAGCUUGGGGGCAUUUGUAUUCAGAUGUCAGAGGUGAAAUUCUUAGAUUUUCUGGAGACAAACAACUGCGAAAGCAUUUGCCUAAAAUACUUCCAUUAAUCAGGAACGAAAGUUAAGGGAGUGAAGACGAUCAGAUACCGUCGUAAUCUUAACCAUAAACUAUGCUGACUAGGCUUUGGAUGAAAGAUUUUAAAAUAAGAGUUUUUUCUCUGAGGAGUUAAAACUCUUAGAUUGC
rnacentral:rRNA from 1 species